rnacentral:rRNA from 1 species
UACAGAGGUCUCAAGCGUUGUUCGGAUUCAUUGGGCGUAAAGGGUGCGUAGGUGGCGCCGUAAGUCGGGUGUGAAAUUUCGGAGCUUAACUCCGAAACUGCAUUCGAUACUGCGGUGCUUGAGGACUGGAGAGGAGACUGGAAUUCAUGGUGUAGCAGUGAAAUGCGUAGAGAUCAUGAGGAAGACCAGUGGCGAAGGCGGGUCUCUGGCCCGAUACUGACGCUGAGGCACGAAAGCGUGGGGAGCAAACAGG